rnacentral:rRNA from 1 species
AUUGAACGCUGGCGGCAGGCCUAACACAUGCAAGUCGAACGAGUGGCGGACGGGUGAGUAAUGUCUGGGAAACUGCCUGAUGGAGGGGGAUAACUACUGGAAACGGUAGCUAAUACCGCAUACCAUCGGAUGUGCCCAGAUGGGAUUCGCUAGUAGGUGGGGUAAAGGCUCACCGAGGCGACGAUCCCUAGCUGGUCUGAGAGGAUGACCAGCCACACUGGAACUGAGAAACGGUCCAGACUCCGAAGGGAGGCAGGAGGGGGGAAUAGUGCACAAUGGGCGCAAGCCUGAUGCAGCAAUGCCGCGUGUAUGAAGAGGGCCGUCGGGUUGUAAAGUACUUUCAGCGGGGAGGCGGUAGCCGCAGAAGAAGCACCGGCUAACUCCGUGCCAGCAGCCGCGGUAAUUC